AAGGGAUAACUGUAAAUUGAAGUCAUAUAUUUCACAUAAUAAAAACGAAUUAAUCCAUUAAAGUUGUACUAACUACAACAAAUAUAUAGUUUUGCAGAAAAGCAUACAUUCAGAUCUCCUCAGAACUCCCAUCAAAUGGAACCAGAGAAGAUAAACAAUUACAUUAAUCUAAUAAAACCAAGCUCUCUCUCUCUCUUUCCCUCUCCAUCUCUCUCCCUCACACACACUCAUAUAUAGAUAUAGAUAUAGAUGUAGCUCGGUUGAGUUAAGAAUCUGAUUCUGACACAGGAGUUGGAUGAACUUUCUUGAACACAUGACCAGAGAAGCAACUAGAUGAUCCAUCACUGUUUUGUAAUGCUUUUUCUUGACUUGUAUUCUUUUGGAGUCCGUUGAUCUUCUCUUUGUUGAGUUUCCUCAAUACGUAAACUUCAGCAAUAUCAAAAUUAAGACUCAACAUGGCUGCUCUUUCGAUACAAAAAUACAGAUGCAGGAAAUUUCUGAUUAUAUGGUAUGAAUUGAAUUGAAACGAUGAAUGAAUGAAUGAACGAAAGAAUGCAAUUAAUGGGAUAUAUAUAGAACUUUAUUCCUACGCAAUGCAUGACAAAAGCUGGCAU
rnacentral:lncRNA from 1 species